GAAAUGCGAUAAGUAAUGUGAAUUGCAGAAUUCAGUGAAUCAUCGAAUCUUUGAACGCACCUUGCGCUCCUUGGUAUUCCUUGGAGCAUGCCUGUUUGAGUAUCAUGAAAUCUUCAAAGUAAAUCUUUUGUUAACUCAAUUGGUUUCUACUUUGGCAUUGGAGGUCUUUGCAGCUUCACACCUGCUCCUCUUUGUUCAUUAGCUGGAUCUCAGUGUUAUGCUUGGUUCCACUCGGCGUGAUAAGUUAUCUAUCGCUGAGGACACUGUAAAAGGUGGCCAAGGUAAAUGCAGAUGAACCGCUUCUAAUAGUCCAUUGACUUGGACAAUACUUUUAUGAUCUGAUCUCAAAUCAGGUAGGACUACCCGCUGAACUUAAGC
rnacentral:misc_RNA from 1 species